AACGUAGGAGGCAAGCGUUAUCCGGAUUCACUGGGCGUAAAGCGCGCGUAGGCGGUCGAGCAAGUCGGAUGUGAAAGCCCCUGGCUCAACUGGGGGAGGCCAUUCGAUACUGCCCGGCUUGAGGGUGAGAGAGGAGAGCGGAAUUCCCGGUGUAGCGGUGGAAUGCGUAGAGAUCGGGAGGAACACCAGCGGCGAAAGCGGCUCUCUGGCUCACACCUGACGCUGAGUGCGCGAAAGCGUGGGGA
rnacentral:rRNA from 1 species